rnacentral:rRNA from 1 species
AGCGAACGCUGGCGGCAGGCUUAACACAUGCAAGUCGAACGGGCGUAGCAAUACGUCAGUGGCAGACGGGUGAGUAACGCGUGGGAACGUACCUUUUGGUUCGGAACAACACAGGGAAACUUGUGCUAAUACCGGAUAAGCCCUUACGGGGAAAGAUUUAUCGCCGAAAGAUCGGCCCGCGUCUGAUUAGCUAGUUGGUGAGGUAACGGCUCACCAAGGCGACGAUCAGUAGCUGGUCUGAGAGGAUGAUCAGCCACAUUGGGGCUGAGACACGGCCCAAACUCCUACGGGAGGCAGCAGUGGGGAAUAUUGGACAAUGGGCGCAAGCCUGAUCCAGCCAUGCCGCGUGAGUGAUGAAGGCCCUAGGGUUGUAAAGCUCUUUUGUGCGGGAAGAUAAUGACGGUACCGCAAGAAUAAGCCCCGGCUAACUUCGUG